rnacentral:rRNA from 1 species
GCAGUAGCCGCGGGAAUACAGAGGGUGCGAGCGUUAAUCGGAUUUACUGGGCGUAAAGCGUGCGUAGGCGGCUUCUUAAGUCGGAUGUGAAAUCCCUGAGCUUAACUUAGGAAUUGCAUUCGAUACUGGGAAGCUAGAGUAUGGGAGAGGAUGGUAGAAUUCCAGGUGUAGCGGUGAAAUGCGUAGAGAUCUGGAGGAAUACCGAUGGCGAAGGCAGCCAUCUGGCCUAAUACUGACGCUGAGGUACGAAAGCAUGGGGAGCAAACAGGAUUAGAUACCCCUGUAGUCCCUGUCUCUUAUAC